rnacentral:rRNA from 1 species
AGAGCGAACGCUGGCGGCAGGCCUAACACAUGCAAGUCGAGCGCCCCGCAAGGGGAGCGGCAGACGGGAGAGUAACACGUGGGAACGUACCCUUCAGUUCGGAACAACCCAGGGAAACUUGGGCUAAUACCGAAUACGUCCGUAAGGAGAAAGAUUUAUCGCUGAAGGAUCGGCCCGCGUCUGAUUAGCUAGUUGGUGGGGUAAUGGCCCACCAAGGCGACGAUCAGUAGCUGGUCUGAGAGGAUGAUCAGCCACACUGGGACUGAGACACGGCCCAGACUCCUACGGGAGGCAGCAGUGGGGAAUAUUGGACAGUGGGCGCAAGCCUGAUCCAGCCAUGCCGCGUGAGUGAUGAAGGCCUUCGGGUUGUAAAGCUCUUUUGGCGGGGACGAUGAUGACGGUACCCGCAGAAUAAGCCCCGGCUAACUUCGUGCCAGCAGCCGC